GACGAACGCUGGCGGCGUGCUUAACACAUGCAAGUCGAACGGAAAGGCUCCAGCUUGCUGGAGUACUCGAGUGGCGAACGGGUGAGUAACACGUGGGUAAUCUGCCCUGCACUCUGGGAUAAGCCUGGGAAACUGGGUCUAAUACUGGAUAUGACCUUUCUCCUUAUGGGGUUUUGUGGAAAGUUUUUCGGUGUAGGAUGAGCCCGCGGCCUAUCAGCUUGUUGGUGGGGUGAUGGCCUACCAAGGCGACGACGGGUAGCCGGCCUGAGAGGGUGAUCGGCCACAUUGGGACUGAGAUACGGCCCAGACUCCUACGGGAGGCAGCAGUGGGGAAUAUUGCACAAUGGGCGGAAGCCUGAUGCAGCGACGCCGCGUGAGGGAUGACGGCCUUCGGGUUGUAAACCUCUUUCAGCAGGGACGAAGCGUAAGUGACGGUACCUGCAGAAGAAGCACCGGCUAACUAUGUG
rnacentral:rRNA from 1 species